CGCACAUUGCGCCCAUUAGUAUUCUAGUGGGCAUGCCUGUUCGAGCGUCAUUUCGACCCUUAAGCCUCUGUUGCUUAGUGUUGGAACUCUACGGUUACAGCGUAGUUUCCGUAAGCUAGUUGGCGGAGUUAGCGUAUACUCUCAGCGUAGUAAAUUAUUCUCGCUCUUGUAGUUAUGCUAGCUAUAGCCAUUAAACCCUUUUUUAAAGGUUGACCUCGGAUCAGGUAGGAAUACCCGCUGAACUUAA
rnacentral:misc_RNA from 1 species